GCAGGGAGAAGGUGCUUAUAAAACAACGGCCUUGAACAUUGAAGAGCAUACCUUUCUCGGCCUUUUGGCUAAGAUCAAGUGUAGUAUCUGUUCUUAUCAGUUUAAUAUCUGAUACGUGGGCCAAUGGUCACACGAUAUUAAUUUAUUUUUUGAGGGGGAGGGUCCACCACAGUAGCUUGCUACUGGGACUCUCGAGCGUCGCCCUAGCGUUGCACUAUUGCUGGGGCCUGGCGCACCCCACCCAAUCCAAAUUUUUAAACCUAUGAGUUUAUUUUUAAUAUCAUGU